GCUCUGUGGGAUCAGUGGCGAACGGGUCGAGUAACACGUGAGCAACCUGCCCCUGACUCUGGGAUAAGCGCUGGAAACGGCGUCUAAUACUGGAUAUGUGACGUGACCGCAUGGUCUGCGUCUGGAAAGAAUUUCGGUUGGGGAUGGGCUCGCGGCCUAUCAGCUUGUUGGUGAGGUAAUGGCUCACCAAGGCGUCGACGGGUAGCCGGCCUGAGAGGGUGACCGGCCACACUGGGACUGAGACACGGCCCAGACUCCUACGGGAGGCAGCAGUGGGGAAUAUUGCACAAUGGGCGCAAGCCUGAUGCAGCAACGCCGCGUGAGGGACGACGGCCUUCGGGUUGUAAACCUCUUUUAGCAGGGAAGAAGCGAAAGUGACGGUACCUGCAGAAAAAGCGCCGGCUAACUACGUGCCAGCAGCCGCGGUAAUACGUAGGGCGCAAGCGUUAUCCGGAAUUAUUGGGCGUAAAGAGCUCGUAGGCGGUUUGUCGCGUCUGCUGUGAAAUCCGGAGGCUCAACCUCCGGCCUGCAGUGGGUACGGGCAGACUAGAGUGCGGUAGGGGAGAUUGGAAUUCCUGGUGUAGCGGUGGAAUGCGCAGAUAUCAGGAGGAACACCGAUGGCGAAGGCAGAUCUCUGGGCCGUAACUGACGCUGAGGAGCGAAAGGGUGGGGAGCAAACAGGCUUAGAUACCCUGGUAGUCCACCCCGUAAACGUUGGGAACUAGUUGUGGGGUCCAUUCCACGGAUUCCGUGACGCAGCUAACGCAUUAAGUUCCCCGCCUGGGGAGUACGGCCGCAAGGCUAAAACUCAAAGGAAUUGACGGGGACCCGCACAAGCGGCGGAGCAUGCGGAUUAAUUCGAUGCAACGCGAAGAACCUUACCAAGGCUUGACAUAUACGAGAACGGGCCAGAAAUGGUCAACUCUUUGGACACUCGUAAACAGGUGGUGCAUGGUUGUCGUCAGCUCGUGUCGUGAGAUGUUGGGUUAAGUCCCGCAACGAGCGCAACCCUCGUUCUAUGUUGCCAGCACGUAAUGGUGGGAACUCAUGGGAUACUGCCGGGGUCAACUCGGAGGAAGGUGGGGAUGACGUCAAAUCAUCAUGCCCCUUAUGUCUUGGGCUUCACGCAUGCUACAAUGGCCGGUACAAAGGGCUGCAAUACCGCGAGGUGGAGCGAAUCCCAAAAAGCCGGUCCCAGUUCGGAUUGAGGUCUGCAACUCGACCUCAUGAAGUCGGAGUCGCUAGUAAUCGCAGAUCAGCAACGCUGCGGUGAAUACGUUCCCGGGUCUUGUACACACCGCCCGUCAAGUCAUGAAAGUCGGU
rnacentral:rRNA from 1 species